rnacentral:tRNA from 1 species
AUGCUUAUAGCUUAGUUUGGCAGAGCAUACGAGUUUUAAUCUUAAAAUCUUGGGUUCAAAUCCCAAUAGGCAUA